AAUGUUUUAGUUUCGACCUCGGUUGAGCUGGAGACUCAUCUAACGGCUUUCUCAGCGGCAAGUUCGAAGUCAUGUCGCCUUUGAACGGUGGGUGGUGCAGCAGUUACGGUCGACUCGGACAUCGCUCGACUUGCGUCUAAAUUGCGAGUGCAGAAAAUAGUGUUCACGGAAUUAACAGACCUCGAUAAUCCAAGUGUAGGCGAAUAAAUAAGUGAAAUUAUUGUGGCAAGCCAGCAAUAAAUCACUAAAUUAAUAGCACUGUCGAGCACCCGCGGCACACGCACAGCUGUUGUGUGUGAAAAGUGAGAAGAGGAAACAGAAGGAAGUGAAAUUGGCGGCAGUUUGACCGCAACAGCAAUAAAAUACGUCUGCAAUCCACAAACGCACGCUCACAUACAUCCGUUCGUCAUCGUCAUCGAAUCGUCGUGGUCCUCCGCUUCUCAGUCCCCGCCACCCCACCCCCUUCGGCUCACGAGUCAUUGUGACAUUUGAUUUAUUUGACGUGUGUGUUUUUGAUAGAAGUUCAACACGAAACCGUCACACAAACACACGUAUGCUCGCCGAGGAAUUUAUUCAGUGAACGAAAAUAAAAUCGCACUGGGCCGCCGUGAAACGAAUACGCCGCCAUCGAUGAGCAGCCGGACGGAAGACAGAAGUAUCGCCAGGACGUCCAAUAAUCAAAAUUUUGGAGAGCGAGCCGGGGUCCCCAGUAUUCCCGAAAAUGAUGCUGCACGAGGCCGUCAUGCUGGAAAUCUAUCGCCAGGCGCUGAGUGCAAGUGAGCUAACUAGUCCGCGAUGCCAGUCUCGGGAGUCCAACACCUCAGCUGGAGCGGUAGCUGGAACGGGCGAUGUGCGAUGUCCAUCGAACGAGUCGCAUUGUUCGACCAACGAUCUUUUGACCCCAGCAGCGACGCCCACCCUCGCGCAAACCUGCACUGCUAUCUCCCCGAACUCGGUGGGACUUCCCCUGACGGCAACCCUUCCUCCUGCAGCUGCAGUUUCUCUGCUACCGCCCCAAUCCGCCGCCAUGGCCGCUUACCUAGCCGCUGCCCAACAAAAUCACCUGCUGCUAACGAAUCCUUUGGCGGCAGCAGCUUCCCUGGUCCAACAUGCCACGCAGCAGGCGGCGGGGCAAGUGAAGGGGGAGUCACCGGUCCUGGAUUUUAGCAGAAAGCGGACUACGAGCGACGGGGACGAUGGUCAGGAACAGGAUCAGGAACAGGACCAAGAGCCCGAGCAAGAUGUCCAGGGCGAUAAUGGUCCUUUAGAUCUAUCUGUAAGCACAGGGAAAAGGCAAGAAUCGGACUCUCCGCCUGCCAGGAAGAUUCCAAGAAGUAUAUCGGCAGAAUACAAGUCCCCUCUACCACCUGGCAGCUGGAUGCCGCCCAUGAACCCAUACUUGGCGGCUGUAGCGGCUAAGACUUGCGGCUUGGGAUACUCUAAGUUGGCACCCAGUGAGGCCAGCAAGGCGCUAGAGAAGAUGAGUGAGAUGAGCCGAUUGGAAACACCACCAGCAGUUGCCCGAAGUUCAGGCGCCACAUCCUCUCUAGGAGGAGGAGUGCCUGGGGGAGGCGGUUCCAACUCCGGUGGCCGGCACAGCGCGUGGCAGUCUCAUUGGCUAAACAAAGGUGCUGAUACUGCUAAGGAUGUGUUCAAGUGUGUGUGGUGCAAGCAAAGCUUUUCAACUUUGGCUAACUUAACUGCCCACAUGAAGGAGACUCAGAAAUGCGGUGUUCAGAUACCUUCGCCGUUACCAACCGGAGAAGUCGGUCCUCCGACUGCUGCUCCUCCCACAAGGUUGGCCACUUCAGCCUCCAACUCGGCCUGUUCCAGCAGCAGCAGCUCCACCUCGAGCUCUUCAAACUCCUCAAAAUCAGAGUUAAAUAUGCUUAUUAAGGAAACUAUGCCCCUUCCCAGAAAACUGGUGAGGGGUCAGGAUGUUUGGCUCGGAAAGGGCGCAGAGCAAACCCGCCAGAUACUUAAGUGCAUGUGGUGUGGACAAAGCUUUCGGUCUCUGGCCGAGAUGACCAGCCACAUGCAGGAGACGCAGCACUACACGAAUAUCAUCUCGCAGGAGCAGAUCAUUUCCUGGAAGUCGGGCGAUGAACGUGAAAGGCCGGCAAACCCUGGAGUUCCGUCUGCAUCCACAGCUGCUUCCCCUUCGGCGAAUGGCACGGCUCCAUCAGUGAGUGCCGUGCUCACGUGUAAAGUUUGUGAUCAGGCCUUCGGUAGCCUAAAGGAGUUAAGCAGCCACAUGGCCCAAAAAUCACACUACAAGGAGUCACCGGCUCCGUCUGAUUCUCCACCAGCUGCUGGCACUGGCAAUCCGAAAAGGGGAAGGCAAAAUCGCAACGAGAAACGCAAGAAGUCCUUGCCGGUGAGGAAGCUUCUUGAGCUAGAGCGAUCCGGCUCGAAUUGCAGUCUGGACUCGGCGCUAAAGCCCCUGAGGGACUUUGCUGCUGCCACCAAAAUUACCUGUGAAAAGUGUGGUAGUAAGAUUGAAACUGCGUUGUUUGUCGAGCACAUACGAAAGUGUCUGGGCGAAAGUAUUCCAAUACCUCCCCGUCGAUCUAACGCGGGAGUAGAGCGCCAGGCAAGUCCGAGUGUAGGACUAGGAGGUGAAAAAUCGCCAUCAGUCCUAAAUGCAUUGGAGCAGCUCAUAGAGAAAAGCUUUGAAUCGAGAACAAGCAGAACCAUGACACUAGGUGGCUAUUCCGAAGCUGGAACUCCGCUGGGGGCCAGCAUCCUGAAGCGCUUGGGAAUCGAGGACAGCAGUGACUACACCAAGCCUCUAAUGGAAGCCCAGGCGAUGCACCAGCUCCGAUCUUCAUUCGCCUCGCGAGACCGCAGUGCCAGCGAAUCGAGCUCAGCCAGUAGGGUGGAAUCUUCCUACACCCCCGACAGACAGCAGGCUACACCCCGCAUAAGCCCAGAUACUCCUGCUCCGCCGCCUCCUCCUCCACCGCCCACUAUCAAAGCUGAGCCACCAGAGGCGGAACAUUCGGUGGGGGGCGAUCGAGAGGGCUGCAGCCCCCGGCAGCAGAUCCAAGUGAAGAAGGAGUUCAACAUUGAAGCGAGUCGGGAGAGUCCUCGAUCUAUAAGCGAAUCUCCUGCGCCGCAGACUGAAAGAUCUCACACAGAUAGUGGCAGCCUACUGGCCUUGAACUCCAUGUUUGAUCAGCUCAAUGGAGUGGAGAACAGCAGCAACAACAACUCGGGGAAUUGCUUUAACAACAACAACAACCACAACAGCAGCAGCAGUAGCGUCUCCGCCCAGAAGCCAAAGUCCCAUCCCCUAGCUGCGCUGCAGAAACUGUGCGAGACAACGGAUCCCCCAGGCACUGGCCCCCGCAGCGGAUCGUCCGCAGGAUCCUCCACCGCAUCUACAACACUUCCCUCAGCGAACGGUAGCGAUCUAGUGGCAUUCAGCUGGGCCAGCAACGAGGCCGUUCUGAGUGCCAGUAAUGGUGGCUCCGGCGGCGAUUCGUCUCUCAUUAAGUGCUCCUACUGUGAUACUCCUUUUGCAUCGAAGGGCGCCUACCGCCACCAUCUCUCCAAGGUGCACUUUGUGAAAGACGCGGCCGAGGACUCUCCCAGACUCAAGUCCCCCUCUGUUCAGAGCCCUAAGUCGAUGCCCUCGGCCUCUCCCAGGAGAUCAGCUUCCAGGAGUCCGGCGACAGGAUCUCAGCAGCCACUUCCCUCUCCCACCAUUAAUCCCUAUGACGAGAGUCCUCAGUCUAAGUUCCUCAAAUACACGGAGUUGGCCAAACAGCUGUCCUCUAAAAACGCCUAGACACGAGCAGAAGCUGUCGGAAUUUCGCAGAACUCUGGAUGCAUUUGGGCAUCGGAGAACUUGUAAAGAAGUUACGUCGCCAAUGAAAAGAGAAGGAGAUUCUACUAGCGAAAGUCUUGGAGACGAACUAAAGCGAAAGGUUCUGGGCUCGGAUUAAACAAAUUCGGUUACAGAUUACAGACGCGUGGUCCUCACGGGUGCCUGAUAGUUGAGCUUGAGAACUUUUGCAUUAUGCUUGGUUAAGACAUAAAUCAAAAUACCAUUACGCCCAAAAGGUCCGCCCAUAUCAGGAGACAACCCAUGCUGUGAUUUAUUAGAAAAACUGCAAGGGAAACCCAGAAGAGAAACAGGAGCAAAAGCCACAGCAGAAGCAGAAACGCGUUUCUUUUGAUAAAAAUUUUGAACUAAAUCAAAACUUCAUUUCACAUCGGUGCCAUUUCUUGCGCCAGGGCCUCAGUUAAACUCCGUUCGGUUUUCAGUUAAGUUGAGCGAAAACUCCACCCUCAUGCUGCAAAAAGCGAGACGGGUACAACAUCGAAACAAGAAAUGGCGGCAAAUCUAGAACAUAUAAAAGAGGGUAGAGAAGGGAAUAUUACACCGCAAAAUGUUUCGAAAACGCCAGGGACUGAUUUGACAUUUGAAAGAGUUUCAAAUGAUAUCGUAAGGUCGCAAUUCAUCUCAUUAACUUAUUUAAGGAAAUCAGAUUGAUAAACAAAUGUCAAAUCAGUCCCUGGCGUUUUCGAAACAUUUUGCGGUGUAAUAACUCUUUACUAACAAAAUUUUGUUUUCUACCAUUUAAGGCGGUUUUACAUUUUUUUGCCUUUUUGGGCCAAUGUAAAAAUUUAAAGGUACAAUUGUUGUCUUACUAUAAGCAUACCAUAUAAUUUUGGUAUAUGCCGAGGCUGUUUCCCCAUGUAAUGGAAAAUGUUAGGUUGGUGAAAAAGGCGCAGGAAGAUGCUCGAAGGAUGGCUCGUCCUUUUCCUCAAUGACGACGCCACAUCGUUGUACUGCGACUUGACUCGACAAAAUUCACUGCUGGCUGUCAGUUCAAUAAAUCAUUUGCGUUUUGACAUGGCGCUCCCCUUCACCCUGCAACGAACUGCUGCGCCAAUGAAAAUCCAUAAAUACAGGAACAAAACAAAAAGGAGGGCAAAAAAUGGGAGCUAGAAAAAUUCAGAGACGCGACACCGAGAAACAGCCCCAACAGACCGGCUCGCAGGCUCCAUGUGGGAUGCACAUAAAUUGCAAGCUGUGGGACCACUUCCAAAAAGAAAAUUCGCACGGAGAGCAGUGUUGGAAGAGCGGAAGAGAACGGCAGCCAGCCAGCAAGUCGAACCAGAAUAGGUUUCCACCGCCAGAGUCCAUAGAUCAGAGCCCCCUUCAUGGUGUCUGCACCCAGAUGAUGACGAUGAUGAUGGGGAUGAUGACGAUGUCGCCACAAGGACUCCGCAAGAUGCAGUCGCACCUCUAGAAGCAUAGGGCGAGAUGCAGACUGCAGAUGCAUGGUGGGUUCCGCGAUACAUUACAUGGAAUUUGGAAACACCAGAGAAAGCUCUUAAACCAAUCCUGCCAUGCCCAUUACUAACAGAUCCUGGUCAUGUCAGCUCACCUCUUGAUGUACAGCCAAGAUGCAGGCUACGUUGGCUCAUCGAAAUCAAAUAUAUAGAUAAAGGUAUACCAUUUACACCCUGAAAUUACCAGGGAUUUAGUAAAAAAAGCUCAGUUUGCUACAUUUUAUGCUGAUCCCUGUCAGGCAACAAAACACACAUAAUCUGCAAAAAGGAUAACAACAGGGAGGGGACUGAAUGAGAGAAAAGAAAAGUGCCAGAGAACCGGGGAAGGAUGAACAAACAAAAUAUUUAUGUCUCCAACACACCUUGAAAAAGACAGACGAUAAACGAGGAACAAGCCAAAAGGAUUCGGAGUCUGAGGCGUGGCAUAGAUCCUGGUGGGUUUUAUGCUUCGUUCUAUGCAAAGUACAGGCAAACAACAUCAACCAAUAAUGCAGACGAGAUUAUGUCCAACCAGAAGCAAAAAUUGUUAUGGGCAGCCAAAGGACAACUCCAACUCCGAAUGAGAAGCUGACGCUAGAAAAGAAGGACAUUCGCACACAUAAAGGAUUGGAAUUGCUUUCCAUGGACACACACUUUUUAAGGGAGCUGCAUUCUCACAAUCUCCAAAAAAAAAUUAAAAACAAACAGAACACAGGGCGAACGGCAAAUGGAGAGUGAAAAAAAAUAAAGGACCUCGGCAAGCGGAGACCUGGGAGGCAGCUACAAAAAACGAAAGUGUUGCACAAUGGGCGUUGCUUCCGGUAAUCCGCACACUCAAAAUUCUGCGCCCAUCCACUCUCUUUCAGGAGGGACACGCACCAACACUGUUCUCUGAUUUAUGCUACGAGCACUUUGCAGAAGGUACAGUCUAAUAAUUAAAACAGCCAGAAUAUGUAGAAUAGUCAAA